AAAUUUCCUCCUCCCCUUUUCUAUCGAGCCAUAAAAAACAUGGAGAAAACUUAAAUGUAUAUUACAAGUGACAGAAGCCAAUCUGGAAAGGCUA